rnacentral:rRNA from 1 species
CCUCCUUUCUUCCUCCUUUUUGCCUCUUGCCCCAUGGGGGGACCCCUGCUGCAGCAACGCCGCGUGGGUGAAGAAGUACUUCGGUAUGUAAAGCCCUGUCAGCAGGGAAGAAAAUGACGGUACCUAACCAAGAAGCACCGGCUAACUACGUGCCAGCAUCCGCGGUAAUACGUAGGGGGCAAGCGUUAUCCGGAUUUACUGGGUGUAAAGGGAGCGUAGACGGCAAGGCAAGUCUGGAGUGAAAGCCCGUGGCUCAACCACGGGACUGCUUUGGACACUGGGUUGCUGGAGUGCAGGAGGGGGUAGGGGAAUUCCUAGGGUAGCGGGGAAAUGCGGAGAUAUUAGGAGGAACACCGGUGGCGAAGGCGGCUUAGUGGACUGUAACGGACGUUGAGGCUCGAAGGCGUGGGGAGGAAACAGGAUUAGAUACCCUAGUAGUC